GACAGAGGGUGCAAACGUUGCUCGGAAUUACUGGGCGUAAAGCGCGUGUAGGUGGAUUGGUGUGUCAGAUGUGAAAGCCCUGGGCUCAACCCAGGAACUGCACCUGAAACUACCAGUCUUGAGUGGUGGAGAGGGAAGUGGAAUUCCUGGUGUAGAGGUGAAAUGCGUAGAUAUCGGGAGGAACACCAGUGGCGAAGGCGGCCACCUGGACGGAUACUGACGCUGAGACGCGAAAGCGUGGGUAGCAAACAGG
rnacentral:rRNA from 1 species